GAUGAAGAACGUAGCAAAAUGCGAUAAGUAAUGUGAAUUGCAGAAUUCAGUGAAUCAUCGAAUCUUUGAACGCACAUUGCGCCCGCUGGUAUUCCGGCGGGCAUGCCUGUUCGAGCGUCAUUUCAACCCUCAAGCCCCCGGGUUUGGUGUUGGGGAUCGGCUCUGCCCUUCUGGGCGGUGCCGCCCCCGAAAUACAUUGGCGGUCUCGCUGCAGCCUCCAUUGCGUAGUAGCUAACACCUCGCAACUGGAACGCGGCGCGGCCAUGCCGUAAAACCCCAACUUCUGAAUGUUGACCUCGGAUCAGGUAGGAAUACCCGCUGGACUUAAGCAUAUCAAUAAGCGGAGGA
rnacentral:misc_RNA from 1 species